rnacentral:rRNA from 1 species
GCUAACACAUGCAAGUCGACGCGGAAACGACACUAACAAUCCUUCGGGUGCGUUAAUGGGCGUCGAGCGGCGGACGGGUGAGUAAUGCCUAGGAAAUUGCCUUGAUGUGGGGGAUAACCAUUGGAAACGAUGGCUAAUACCGCAUAAUGCCUACGGGCCAAAGAGGGGGACCUUCGGGCCUCUCGCGUCAAGAUAUGCCUAGGUGGGAUUAGCUAGUUGGUGAGGUAAUGGCUCACCAAGGCGACGAUCCCUAGCUGGUCUGAGAGGAUGAUCAGCCACACUGGAACCGAGACACGGUCCAGACUCCUACGGGAGGCAGCAGUGGGGAAUAUUGCACAAUGGGCGAAAGCCUGAUGCAGCCAUGCCGCGUGUAUGAAGAAGGCCUUCGGGUUGUAAAGUACUUUCAGUUGUGAGGAAGGGGGUAACGUUAAUAGCGCUAUCUCUUGACGUUAGCAACAGAAGAAGCACCGGCUAACUCCGUGCCAGCAGCCGCGGUAAUACGGAGGGUGCGAGCGUUAAUCGGAAUUACUGGGCGUAAAGCGCACGCAGGUGGUUCAUUAAGUCAGAUGUGAAAGCCCGGGGCUCAACCUCGGAACUGCAUUUGAAACUGGUGAACUAGAGUACUGUAGAGGGGGGUAGAAUUUCAGGUGUAGCGGUGAAAUGCGUACAGAUCUGAAGGAAUAC